CUGGAUCAAACCAGCAGUGAAGCUAGCGGAGCCAACCACCGCAGUUCAGCUGAGAACGGAGGUGAAGCAGGUGUCUGAGCAGCAACUAAGAAGGCCAGUUAUGUUACAGAUUGCUUUUUCUUGGCGAGAUGGAGACAUUUGAUGAGACAACUGUGUCACUCUUACAAGCCAUCUGAGGACCCCAACAUGUUUCUCCAGAGACGACCCAUCACCAGACCGGUCCUCCUGGUAGAAUCUACUAACCUCCUCCUGGCUGUUGGCACAGUGCCGCUGACCACCUUGCCUAAAGACAUGAUCCACGAGGCUCCUCUCAUCCUGAUGGGGUGUUACUACACCUUCCACCUUACCUACCCCAAAUGUGUUUCUACUUUGUUGUCCAUCAUCCAGACAGUGGUACUGAAGGACAGUAUUCAUGAGCGUGACCUCACUCAUUCUUACAAAAAGGCAAUAGCUGAAUGGGAAGAAUUUAACAAAAAGUAGAGCCAGAAAUGCACAGGUUUGUCCACUGAUAAUUUUCACAGUCACCAAAUGUGAUUGCUGCUCAGUCUCUGAGAAAUAUGUUGAUGACUGAAAGUCUAUUGUUGUUUUAAUAUUUUUGUUAACAGGGUAUUGAAUGUGUGAUGGCAUGAUGUCAGUAUAAAUUCUGGAAAGAUACACGUAAUCACUUUUGAAUCUUUUUUGAAUCAGUGUGACAAGUGUGGUUUGCUUUUCCAAAAGGUCACAGUACACUGUUCAUUUUGGUUAAAGCUGUUUGUAUUUUUUUUUUUUUUUAAUUUUCA